rnacentral:rRNA from 1 species
UGUUAGCGGCGGACGGGUGAGUAACACGUGGGCCACCUGCCUGUAAGACUGGGAUAACUUCGGGAAACCGGAGCUAAUACCGGAUAAUCCUUUUCCUCUCAUGAGGAAAAGCUGAAAGAUGGUUUCGGCUGUCACUUACAGAUGGGCCCGCGGCGCAUUAGCUAGUUGGUGAGGUAACGGCUCACCAAGGCGACGAUGCGUAGCCGACCUGAGAGGGUGAUCGGCCACACUGGGACUGAGACACGGCCCAGACUCCUACGGGAGGCAGCAGUAGGGAAUCUUCCACAAUGGACGAAAGUCUGAUGGAGCAACGCCGCGUGAGCGAUGAAGGCCUUCGGGUCGUAAAGCUCUGUUGUUAGGGAAGAAUAAGUACCGGAGUAACUGCCGGUACCUUGACGGUACCUAACCAGAAAGCCACGGCUAACUACGUGCCAGCAGCCGCGGUAAUACGUAGGUGGCAAGCGUUGUCCGGAAUUAUUGGGCGUAAAGCGCGCGCAGGCGGUCCUUUAAGUCUGAUGUGAAAGCCCACGGCUCAACUGUGGAGGGUCAUUGGAAACUGUGGGACUUGAGUACAGAAGAGGAAAGCGGAAUUCCACGUGUAGCGGUGAAAUGCGUAGAGAUGUGGAGGAACACCANUGGCGAAGGCGGCUUUCUGGUCUGUAACUGACGCU